rnacentral:rRNA from 1 species
CACGUAGGGGGCGAGCGUUGUCCGGAUUUAUUGGGCGUAAAGAGCUCGUAGGCGGCUCAGUAAGUCGGGUGUGAAAACUCCGGGCUCAACCCGGAGACGCCACCCGAUACUGCUGUGGCUUGAGUCCGGUAGAGGAGCGUGGAAUUCCUGGUGUAGCGGUGAAAUGCGCAGAUAUCAGGAGGAACACCAGCGGCGAAGGCGGCGCUCUGGGCCGGAACUGACGCUGAGGAGCGAAAGCGUGGGUAGCAAA